AAAAGGAAAACACGAGGAGAAUCUAAAUAGGACUAAUUGUUGGUAUUGUAUCAAACUCAAGGCUCUUUGCUUAUUCAGUUCCCUCAAAUCAUAUCAUGCAUCUACCAUUGUAACAAAAAGGGUUUUCCAGAACAAAUUCAGUACCCAAAAAAGAAAAAGAGAAAUCAAUGCUGAAACUGGGAAUUCUAAGCACAGAUUGUGAUUCAAGCAAUGAAAAAAAAAGGAACUCACAUUGAUGCAUAUAAUCGUUGUCUAUUGUCGACAGAACCAGGCGAGUUUCCUCUUAUUUUUCUAAGCUGUUAGCAGCAAACUCAUGCAUGCAACAUCUGAUAAUCCAUAAAGAAAAUAAUUUGUUUUUAUAUACAAUUUUUAAAACUUUUUAAAAAUUUAAAAACUUAUUUUAAUUUUUUUGAACUAUUUUAUAUUUAGCACUAAUAAAUAAAUAAAAGCAUUUUUAAAUACAAUAUAAAAUAAUUUAUCCAAAGUUUUAUGCAUAUUUUAGAGUAAAAGAUUUAUACAUUUUAAAAGUUUCAAAAAUUUGAAAUACUAUUUUUAAAACAGUUUUUAAAGUUGAAAAAUAUUGUUUAUAAAUUGUUUAUAAUUUAAAAAAACUAAAUAAAAAUACAUUUAUCAAAAUUUAAAUAGAUUACAUAAAUUAAAGUAAUUUUUUAUGACUAUCAAAUCUUUUUUUAUAAAACAAACGAGUGCACGCUAUAAAAACAAGUUACGUUAUAUUAUCAAAAUAUAUAAAUCCUAAUUUGAUAAUUUAAAUAUAUAUUAAUAAUUUUAUAUAUUUUAUAUAUUUUCAACUUUAUCUUGUAUUAUAUUUUAUUUUUAAAUAAAAAUAUAUAAUGAUAAAAAGAUUUAUUAUUUUCUAUGAUUUUUUUUAAAAAAUGGUUAUAUAUAAAGAAUAAUAACAAAGGGGAUUAAUAUAAUUUACCAUUAUAAUUUUAAAAUUAUCUUUAAUUUAAAAAUAUAUUAUAAUUUUAAAUUAUUAUAUUUUAUUAAUUUGAAAUAAAAAAUUAAUUAUAUAUAAAAAGUUGUCACAUAUUAAAAAAAUGAAUAUGACAUGUGUUAAAAUAUUAAUCCUCAAUAUCAAUUGGGAGCGUAAAAUCUUAUAAUAUAUAUGAUAUCAUAAGAGAAAGCUUAACCCGACCCAUUUGCUGGACCCACUUUCUAAAAAGACACAGUCUUAGUUUUUUAAAUAGUAGGUUUGCAAUACCAACCUCGUUGGAAAACGAAGGUAAAAUUUUAGUGGGUGAAAGUACCCCAUCGAUUGUUGGAUUAUCAAUAAGUGAGUAAAUAAAUGGCAUGGCAUGGCAUAUGACUAUUUGGGUAAUGAUGAAAUCUCAUUGAGGAUGAUGACAUGCAUUUAUAAAAUGUUAAUAAUUAAUACAAUAUAGAAAUUCUAAAAAUUUACAAAAUAAUUGUACAUGUUACUAAUUAUGAUUGGCUAUAAUAAUUAGGGAUAACGUCAUAUUUGGUAAUUGUAUUUUAAAAUGUCCAAUGUGGUAUUUGAGCAAUCAAUAUAUGUGUUAUACCUUUUCUCAACAAUGACACGUGGCAGAACAAGAAAUGACUCGUGAGAACUUAAAUAGAAGCCCAUAGAUGGCCCCUUGUUGAAUAUCCUUCAUUGUGACCCCUUGUUGGAUUUUACGUAACUAGCCAUCAGUGCAUUCCACUUAAAACAACUAGGAGAUUGCCUGUUUCUAGCCACCUGCUUGAAAGGCCAGAUAGUCUCAAAGUCGGGUUUCAAGGGAUAAAUUUACAUUAAGGUUGGCUUGAGAGACUCAAACGGUUCAAACAAAAAUUCACCUAAAUUAUUUUCAAAAUUCUAUGCCUCCUAGGAGUUCACCUCAAGAAAUUACUAAGUCAAUUCUAAAGAGUUAAACUUUCAUGCAUGCUUAGCUUUUCCAAGGAAUUAAACGUUUCAUGGUUUGAUUUACAUAUUUUAUUAAGACGAACAUUAUGUCAUAAUUCAACUAACAUAACAAUUAUUGAGAUAAUAGAACUUUAUUUAUACUAAAGUUUAACAUCAUCAACAAAAUUCAAAAUUUUGAGCAAAAUAUAACUUAAUAAUAAUUUGAUAGGAAAAAUAAAUUCUUAAAAAGAAAAAAAUUCAACUUUUGGUCCCCCCACUUAAGAUGAACAAUGCCCCUAUUAUUAAAAACGAUAGAUAGAAGGGACGAAAAUAUAAAAGUGAAUAGAUAUUGUACACCAGGUAGGGUCCCAGGAAAGGGAGGUGUGUAAUGCCCAAAAAAUGUUAGAUUUUUAAUUGUGCAAGCAUGUCAAUUAAUUUGAUUUGGUGUGUGGGUUAAAUGCCUUGAAAGUCUACUGUAGAUCCUGUGUUCGAUUCCUUUGUUUUGAAUUUUCAUAUUUAUUUUGGAAUUAUGUCAAGCUUAACUUUCCGGGCUUAUUUUAUAUUCUUUGUUGGGUUAUGAGAAGGAUGAGCCUAUUGGUUAAAUGUUUAAGCUUUUGUAUUCUUCUUGGUCUUGAGUUCGAAUCUUGGUGUAAGCAAAUGAAGUGUUUUUGUUGCUUGCAUUUGUUAGUAGUUGAGUUCUUUUUGAAUUACAAUAGUCUAAUGGUUAGUUAUUAUAGGAUAUUUUAUUUUAUUUUCUUAAGUUAUCAAAAUAAAAAAAUCCCUAAAAUCACUCUACUUUUGCACACCCCACAAUCUCUCCUUUCACGUUCAUAUCUCUUUUUCUUGUUUACUUCUUUUUCUUUUGAAGUUUUCUUUUUCUAUUUUUUUCUUCUUCUUUCUUUUCUGCUGGUACUCGCUUGCUGCCAUUCCAUUUUUCCCCUUGUAUUCGUGCACGGUGUUGUUAUUUAAUCUUAUUUCUGAACGUGGAGUAAGUUUGUCUGAUUAUUUUUAUUCUUUUGCUUUGAAAUUGUUUAUUGAACAAGUUAGGAGUUGUGGUUAUGUUUGAUCCUCGUUCUUAGUUAUGAUGAACGUUCUUGUGUUUUUGAUUAGGCGAAGGGGGUGAGAACCAAAUUCCUCCAGCAGAGUAGUUCUCAUAUUUGGCACUGUUUUUUACUAGUAAGUAUACGAAUCUUGUUUUAGGGUCUGAAUUUUUGACAAAAGAAUGCCAAUUUGGAUGGGUCUUUGAUGAUUAUUUUGUGCAAUUUGUUGAGUGAUUGUAGGAUUCGUGAGCUCCCCAUAGUGUGGUUAAUCAAUUACGUCAUUAGGUGUGUGAACUAACUCAAAAAACUCAUUAGGAUCUCAUAAAGUAAAAAAAAAGGGUUGUUUUGGAAACUACCCAGCGUCAUACGACCAUGUGACAAACCAUGUACAUCACACGGCUGUGUGGAGCACAUAAUCGUGUGUAAUUUUGUAGCCCGUGUUUGUAGGUCGUGUGGGCCACACAGUCAUUUAGGCCUUUUGGCCUAAUUUUAAGGCCCGAAUAGCGGCCGAUUAAGGGACUCAGAAAUUGGGUCCAUGGGCAUUAUUUAGGCCUGAAAAAAAGCGUAAGUUUCAGUAUGCAAACAUAGGUAUGUGUAGAAAGCAUGUUAAGUAGGUUUCGAUAAGUAUAUUAAUAUGAUAUGAUAUACUCUAUAAGUAUGUAUGUUAACCAUGCAAGUUAUAUGAUUGGUGAGUACCUUAUGCAAUGUUAUGUUUCGUAUAAAAAUAUAUGUGUAUGCAUGCCGUGCGAUUUAUGUUAUAAGUAUGUACAAUAUUAUAUCUAUGUUUUAGGGUGGUAUUAAUAUGAUGGAGGAAGUGCUAUAUGGCAGUAUCUACUGCAAUUAUGGUGGCUAGACCACAAAUUCCUGUUUGGCAACUCAAUUGCGUAUUUAUGAGUGGCAUACUGCCACGUACUAGUGUGAUUGGAUGGAUGGACUCUUCUAGUCUUAAUUGGUGUGAUUGGUUGGACGGAGAUGGUGUGUAGCGGAUGAAGGCAGGAUAUGAUAUGUUAUAAGAUAUGUUUCGAUAUGAAUCUGAUAUGAUAUGAUAUGAUAUGUAUAAGAAAUGUUCUGAAAUGGAGUUUGAUAUGCUUUGAUACAUUCUAGUAUAUAUAUUUGUAUUAUUUUGUUCGUGUGGG
rnacentral:lncRNA from 1 species